GACGAACGCUGGCGGCGUGCUUAACACAUGCAAGUCGAACGGAAAGGCCCUGCUUGCAGGGUACUCGAGUGGCGAACGGGUGAGUAACACGUGGGUGAUCUGCCCUGCACUUCGGGAUAAGCCUGGGAAACUGGGUCUAAUACCGGAUAGGAGCCAUUUUUAGUGUGAUGGUUGGAAAGUUUUUUCGGUGUAGGAUGAGCUCGCGGCCUAUCAGCUUGUUGGUGGGGUAAUGGCCUACCAAGGCGGCGACGGGUAGCCGGCCUGAGAGGGUGGACGGCCACAUUGGGACUGAGAUACGGCCCAGACACCUACGGGAGGCAGCAGUGGGGAAUAUUGCACAAGGGGCGCAAGCCUGAUGCAGCGACGCCGCGGGGGGGAUGACGGCCUUCGGGUUGUAAACUCCUUUCGCUAGGGACGAAGCUUUUUGUGACGGUACCUAGAUAAGAAGCACCGGCUAACUACGUG
rnacentral:rRNA from 1 species